GAGUUUGAUCGUGGCUCGGAUUGAACGCUGGCGGCAGGCCUAACACAUGCAAGUCGAGCGGAUGACGGGAGCUUGCUCCUUGAUUCAGCGGCGGACGGGUGAGUAAUGCCUGGGAAUCUGCCUGGUAGUGGGGGACAACGUUUCGAAAGGAACGCUAAUACCGCAUACGUCCUACGGGAGAAAGCAGGGGACCUUCGGGCCUUGCGCUAUCAGAUGAGCCUAGGUCGGAUUAGCUAGUUGGUGGGGUAAUGGCUCACCAAGGCGACGAUCCGUAACUGGUCUGAGAGGAUGAUCAGUCACACUGGAACUGAGACACGGUCCAGACUCCUACGGGAGGCAGCAGUGGGGAAUAUUGGACAAUGGGCGAAAGCCUGAUCCAGCCAUGCCGCGUGUGUGAAGAAGGUCUUCGGAUUGUAAAGCACUUUAAGUUGGGAGGAAGGGCAGUAAGUUAAUACCUUGCUGUUUUGACGUUACCGACAGAAUAAGCACCGGCUAACUCUGUGCCAGCCGCCGC
rnacentral:rRNA from 1 species